rnacentral:lncRNA from 1 species
GAUGAUGAAAAUGCACAAAGCCAGCACAAGUAGUAUGAAACCUAUCACACACCCCGCAAUCACUCCAGCCAAAGUUCCCUUCGAUACUACACUCCUUUUCCCCGGUGACGAUGACAAUGGUGAUGGCGCCGGUCCAUAUGGAGAUUCAAGUGUUGUUGCCAGGGACGAUUCAUAUUGAAAUUUUGAGGGAGUUGCAUGGGGGGAAUCUUGGUUGGUAGUACGAAAAAGGCAAAUCCGCUAGUGAUGACAUGUUUAGAUUGCUAGUUAUUUUUUUCAGGAAUCCUUGAACCUGUUUAUAGAAUUUUUAGUUUUCCUUCCUACCCCUUGUAAGAAAAUCAGUAAUCUUUGUACCAAUGAGUCGCCUUUUUAGAACAAACUCUUGUAACAGUAGCAGUUCUAGAGCCAGUAUUAGUAAACCCCCGGAAAUAGUAAAUGAACAACAAAUGGAAACAAAACUAGUAAUGAAAUUGACUAUAAAGAUUGGAAUAUCCCCAAAAUCCCUAGUACAUAAAUUUACAAGAAAAAAUUGUCACUUUCAAGUUUCAAAAGUACAACCCAUGUGAAAACAGUUGAACAAGUCUAUGCCUUGAGUAAAGAACACGAAACAUGUCAAUUAUUAAACCUUGAGUCAAUAAAGAAACAUAAGAGUGAUGGAAACAAUUUCCUUCAUAUUGGCCUCGUUCAAGUAGCAGUCAAACCUCUUACCAGGUUCGGACUAAAUGCCUCUAAUUUACUUUGCCUAUGUGAUGCCAGAUUGACCAACUUUAGUGAUAGUACCGUAGGAAUAAUAGAGUCAAGCUUGUUUAAUGGUCCUAACUUUAGUGGGAUACAUCAGAAGGUAUCGAUGAUGGCGGUGUCGGUGGAGGAGAUUCAUAUUGAAAUUCAGGUGGUGUUGCCAGGGCCGAUUCAUAUUGGAAUUAUGGAGGAGUUGGAGGGGGGAAAUAUUGGUAGUACGAAAAAGGCGAAUCCGCUGGUGAUGACAUGUUUAGAUUGCUAGCUAUUUUUUU